AUCUUUCUAGUACAAGUUAGUAUGCGUGACUUCCAAUCACCCGGCCUUGGUUAGAACCCAAGGAAAGAUA
rnacentral:tRNA from 2 species